UCAAUCAACAUAUAUAAAAUGAACAUUGAUUCAGUCCAGAAAGGCAGGACAACUCAAGCAAAAGCAGGAGAAUUCAAAGCAACUUGAAGCAACUCGAAGUAGGAAGAGGGCUUCCAGGUCACAGACUGUUUGACCUCUGGUAACUAAAACUGCAGAAGGCAAAACUGGAUAAGGAGACUACUGUAAUGAUUAUGCUAUUACAAGACGCUCGAUUGCUAACAUCAGACAUUUUUAUAAAAGGAAGUGAAGCUAUGAGAUCCACAAUGUGAAUGUCACCCAACCAGAGGUGUUACUUUGUGCCAUGUACAACAUACACAACCAUAGGCCAGAAUCCUGCUAGGACAUCUCUGCCUGUGGAAGGAGGGCUGGAUGGCAUACUGGGAAUGGCUUUCUAGGAUGACUUCCUGUUGCUACAGACUACAAGAAGCAUUUCUGGCCUUGAUGUUGUCUGAAUGAAGAAGACAUAGGAGUUUCACCAAAGUAUAGCUCCCUGAAACCAGAUGGAUCAUGGCAGAUGAUAGUGGCUACUCUAAACUUGACCAAGUAGCUUCCACAAUUGAAGUCCCAAGCUGGAGCCUACAGGAAUGAGGAAGCAGGAAGGGCCAGAGUGAAGUGGAAACUUUGAACUUGAAGUUGGAAGACACUGGUACUCAUCUCUUCUAUUUGCUAGCUGUAUGAUCUUGGGCAACUUAUUUAAUUUAUCUUCCUCCAGUUUACUCAUUGAUUAAAUGAAGGUAACAAUUUUAUCUCAUAGGGAUAUGGGGAUGAUCGAGAGAGAUAAUAAAA
rnacentral:lncRNA from 1 species